rnacentral:rRNA from 1 species
CCUACGGGAGGCAGCAGUGAGGAAUAUUGGUCAAUGGACGAGAGUCUGAACCAGCCAAGUAGCGUGAAGGAUGACUGCCCUAUGGGUUGUAAACUUCUUUUAUAAAGGAAUAAAACGAGGCACGUGUGCCUCUUUGCAUGUACUUUAUGAAUAAGGAUCGGCUAACUCCGUGCCAGCAGCCGCGGUAAUACGGAGGAUCCGAGCGUUAUCCGGAUUUAUUGGGUUUAAAGGGAGCGUAGAUGGGUUGUUAAGUCAGUUGUGAAAGUUUGCGGCUCAACCGUAAAAUUGCAAUUGAUACUGGCAGUCUUGAGUACAGUUGAGGUAGGCGGAAUUCGUGGUGUAGCGGUGAAAUGCUGAGAUAUCACGAAGAACCCCGAUUGCGAAGGCAGCUUACUAAACUGUGACUGACAUUGAUGCUCGAAAGUGUGGGUAUCAAACAGGAUUAGAUACCCGGGUAGUC